rnacentral:lncRNA from 1 species
GCUAACUGUUCAUAUACAGUGCCUUAUGGAAAGUAUUCAGACCCCUCGACUUUUUUUUACACUUUGUUAGGUUACAUCCUUAUUCUAAAACUGAUUAAAUAAAAAAAAUCCCAAAUUGUAAGUCAAUAAUUGGAAAUUAAAUACCAGAAGAUUACCACUAGGUGGCAGUGAAGUAUAUUGUUGCUGUAUUGAUGCUGUGACUACAGCUUUUCAAUAGUGAAGUGUUUUUCAGCGUCGUCCAAACUAACAUUUUGGAGUUAUAUGUACUUAUAAAGCACUCUUUUCCCAAAACAACUGUUUGAAAAUAUGUGGUUAGAUAAGGCGGGGUCACUGGAAAUAAAGUAUAAUGUAACUAAACAACGCACUCUUAUUUUAAGAUUUGAACACAUCCAUAAUAGUAGCCUAUCAGGUAAAGGCUACAUUUACACCGCAAACAUCUCAAGCAAUCUUAUGUUAAUCCUAUGACUAUAACAAAUGAACCUUGUUACUUAGUUGAUUUAGAAUUGUAUUGAUCUGAUGUUACAUCUGUUCAUUUUCUGAUCAUAUUGUGUAUGAUUAAGGCAAACCUAUUUACUUAUCUAUCAAACAUUGUCUGCCUGGAUUACAACACUUCCUUAAGCAGCAGACCAUAAGGACGGAUGGAGUUUUCCACAAUAGCUCUCUCUUGAACAGGAGAUGAUCCCUCAGGCACAUAAACCAGCCAGUAACUCUCUCUCCGACACUGUUG